UAUGAUAAACAUGUAAUAAAUAGAGGAUUGAGUUUCAUUUGAUUUCCGUUCUGCGGCGCUGCAUGUUUAUAUUGAGAAGCGGCACCCACUUUCAAUUUCAAUAUGGCCGACUAGGGAGGAAACAUGGUUGUUAUUUUUUGUGUUGUUUCUCUCUUCCAGCUCUUCUAGAGUCCCACGAGCUGCAAGUUUUUCUCUGGGUUUGUUACGCCACCACCUCCCUGCCUGCCUGCUUGUUGUUUUCAGUUUUUAUCCCCCUAGAGAACGAAUUGUCCAGAGAAAAAACUAUUUAAAACGGUGAUCGAAAAAAAAUCGGGAGGGUUUAAAGAGAUGCGUUGGUGUGUGAGCUCUGGAAAUCGUUUGAUCCUUGCACGAAUGAACCCGGAAUGAUCGGAUUUGGUGCGGUGCGCGCGUGAAAAGCCGCGCGGGACCGUACAGAAACGCGCUAAAAAGGAAUAAACACG